UGGGGAAUAUUGGGCAAUGGGCGAAAGCCCGACCCAGCGACGCCGUGUGGGUGAUGAAGGCCUUCGGGUUGUAAAACCCUUUCGUGCGGAAAGAAUAGUCCUGUAGCGAAUAACUACGGGAUUUGACGGUACCGCAGGAAGAAGCACUGGCUAACUCCGUGCCAGCAGCCGCGGUAAUACGGAGGGUGCAAGCGUUGUUCGGAAUUAUUGGGCGUAAAGGGCGCGUAGGUGGUUGUGAUAGUCAGAUGUGAAAUCCUUCGGCUCAACCGAAGAACUGCAUCUGAAACUUCAUAGCUCGAGUACAGGAGAGGGAAACGGAAUUCCCGGUGUAGAGGUGAAAUUCGUAGAUAUCGGGAGGAACACCAGUGGCGAAGGCGGUUUCCUGGCCUGAUACUGACGCUGAGGCGCGAAAGCGUGGGGAGCAAACAG
rnacentral:rRNA from 1 species